UACGGGGGGGGCAAGCGUUGUUCGGAAUUACUGGGCGUAAAGGGUCUGUAGGUGGCCAACUAAGUCAUACGUGAAAUCCCUCAGCUUAACUGGGGAACUGCGUGUGAUACUGGAUGGCUUGGAUUUGGGAGAGGGAUGCGGAAUUCCAGGUGUAGCGGUGAAAUGCGUAGAUAUCUGGAGGAACACCGGUGGCGAAGGCGGUGCUCUGGGGCUGUUCUGACGCUGAGGAGCGAAAGCGUGGGGAGCGAACAGG
rnacentral:rRNA from 1 species